UGUAUUGGACAAUGGGGGAAACCCUGAUCCAGCCAUCCCGCGUGUACGAUGAAGGCCUUCGGGUUGUAAAGUACUGUUUGUAGAGAAGAAAAGGUAUCGCCUAAUACGAGAUACUGCUGACGGUAUCUGCAGAAUAAGCACCGGCUAACUUCGUGCCAGCAGCCGAGGUAAUACGUAUGGUGCAAGCGUUAAUCGGAAUUACUGGGCGUAAUGCGUGUGUAGACGGUUAGGAAAGAAAGAUGUGAAAUCCCAGGGCUCAACCUUGGAACUGCAUUUUUAACUGCCGGGCUAGAGUAUGUCAGAGGGGGGUAGAAUUCCACGUGUAGCGGUGAAAUGCGUAGAUAUGUGGAGGAAUACCGAUGGCGAAGGCAGCCCCCUGAGAUAAUACUGACGCUCAGACACGAAAGCGUGGGGAGCAAACA
rnacentral:rRNA from 1 species